rnacentral:rRNA from 1 species
UACGGAGGGUGCGAGCGUUAAUCGGAAUUACUGGGCGUAAAGGGUGCGUAGGUGGUUGUAUAAGUUAUCUGUGAAAUCCCCGGGCUCAACCUGGGCAGGUCAGAUAAGACUGUAUGACUCGAGUAUGGGAGAGGGUAGUGGAAUUUCCGGUGUAGCGGUGAAAUGCGUAGAGAUCGGAAGGAACACCAGUGGCGAAGGCGGCUACCUGGCCCAAUACUGACACUGAGGCACGAAAGCGUGGGGAUCAAACAGG